rnacentral:lncRNA from 1 species
AGCUAUGCAGACAAGUGGCCUGUGGCUUUAACCUGGUCCCCUGUACUCCAAACUCCUGGGACUGAUAAGAAACAUGCCCCCGGGGCUGGUGAGAUGGCUCAGUGGGUAAGAGCACCUGACUGCUCUUCCGAAGGUCCGAAGUUCAAGUCCCAGCAACCACAUGGUGGCUCACAACCAUCUGUAACAAGAUCUGACGCCCUCUUCUGGUGUGUCUGAAGACAGCUACAGUGUACUUACAUAUAAUAAAUAAAUAAAUAAAUCUUAAAAAAAAAAAGAAAGAAAGAAACAUGCCCCCUUUUCACUGACUUACCUCCUUGGGUUCCUGCUCUCCAGGGUAACCGGAGAAACCCACCCACAGUUUCCUCAACCCCAGCUCCUCUCCAGCCCUGGCAGUCGGCCUCAGCACUGCAUUUUCUUCCAUGUCCUGGCCACUUAGCUUGAAGCUGCAGCAGCUGUACUGCCCAGCGGCAACCCAGCUUCCACCUGUAGUAGCAGCUCAAUACAGCCAAACUCUCCCCUCGCCCCUGCACUCCCAGCAUUCAUUUAUUGAUUGAUUGAUUUGGGGGUACUUGGAUUUGAACACAGGUCUUCAGCAUGCUAAUCACUCUACUGCUAAGUAGACUCCUAACUCUUUUUUUUUUUUUUUUGAAUGUUGAGACAGGGUCUUGCUAAUUUACUCAAUCUGGCCUCAAACUCAGGAGCCCAACUAGGCCUUGAAGUUGUGAUCCUCCUGCCUCAGCUUCCCCAAGUAGCUAGAAUGACAGGCAUAUACCUACAGACUUGGCUCACCAUUUCCUAAAUACUUGCCCUACUUAAACUCAUAAAGAGUUGCCAUAUGGGUCUCUGCUUUUUUUUUUAAGAUUUAUUUAAUUAUUCUAUGUAUGUAAGCAUACUGUAGUUGUCUUCAUGCACACCAGAAGAGGGUGUCAGAUCCCAUUACAGAUGGUUGUGAGCCACCAUGUGGUUGCUGAGACUUGAACUCGGGACCUCUGGAAGAGCAGUCAGUGCUCUUCACCGCUGGGCCAUCUCUCCAGCCCCAUGUGGGUCUCCUCUAUGCAUCUGAUGGCACUUCUAAAACAAUGCUGGACUCCAAGUAGGACACAUGACACCUCUAUGUGUCUUUUAAAUUGAUCCAGUGGGGUGUUGGGUCUUGUGGCAGCAGCUCUCUCAGAAUCUUUACUAGGACUGCUUGUGAGGGAAACGCUUGAUUUUUUUUUCAAUUUUUUAUUAGAUAUUUUCUUCAUUUACAUUUCAAAUGCUAUCCCAAAAGUCCCCUAUACCCUCCCCAUGCCUUGCUCCCCUACCCACCCACUCCCACUUCUUGGCCCUGACGUUCCCCUGUACUGGGGCAUAUAAAGUUUGCAAGACCAAGGGGCCUCUCUUCCCAAUGAUGGCCGACUAGGCCAUCUUCUGCUACAUAUGCAGCUAGAGACACGGGCUCUGGGGGUACUGGUUAGUUCAUAUUGUUGUUCCACCUAUAGGGUUACAGUUCCCUUUAGCUCCUUGGGUAAUUUCUCUAGCUCCUCCAUUGGGGGCCCUGUGUUCCAUCCAAUUGCUGACUGUGAGCAUCCACUUUUGUAUUUGCUAGGCACUGGCAUAGUCUCACAAGAGACAGCUAUAUCAGGGUCCUUUCAGCAAAAUCUUGCUGGCAUGUGCAAUAGUGUCUGCAUUUGGUGGCUGAUUAUGGGAUGGAUCCCCGGGUGGAAGGCCAGAGGCAGAGGAUUAUGCUGAUGCCUGGAAGCAGCCUCUCUGCGUGGGGGAAAGACAGCCUCUUGGUUUAAGCUGCCACGGGCCACCGAGGAGGCAUGGACAGCAGGCUGUGUGCUUGGUCCAACCCCAGGACCUGUUCUUUAUCCCUAUGAAAUCUGGGAAGUCCCCAGGCCCCUGGUGCUUCCACAUAGUACCUGGGGGUAAAGGUAUAUGUGCAGAUUGCCCAGACAGCAUCCCAAACCCUUCUCACUGUAUCAAGCCACUUAAAGUAUUGGUUUGUAAUUGCUAUUGAGAAAUCAGUUCCUGGAAGGGAGUUCCUUCUCCAAUUAAAAAAAAAAAUCUAAAAGAAGGGUCACUGAGAUGGUUCAGUGGCUAAAGGGCACCUGCUGCCAAGCCUGAAAACCUGGGUUUGAUCCCAGGCCCCACAGUCCUCUGACUUCCAGAAGCCCAGCAAGACAGAUGCGCUCUACACACAUGCGCUAACAUGCAAUCAUGUUUUUGAAACAUAUAAAAUAAAAUGUGUGGCAUUGACUUGGCAGGUGAACAGAAAAAUAAAUUGAUUUCAAGGCUGUCCAGGUGAGGUUUGAAUAAAACUUGGACCAAGAUGAAACACUAAAACUCAGCCAAAUGACUCCAAGUUCCCAGAGGAGUGACAAGAAAAAGAUAGUGGGAGCUGGGAGAGAGGGAGUUAGCACUGUUGCCUUGCAACAAAGUUGUGUGUGUGUGUGUGUGGGGGGGGGUUGUCUUGUUGUUCUUUUAUUUUUAUUUUUUCUUCUCAGUGGAGCUUUAUAGGAGGUGAAAUUAACCAGGAAUCAGCUGGACAUGGUGUUGAAUGCCUUUAAUCUCAGCAGAGAUGGCCUUGUGCAGAGGCUGAGCACAAGGCCAGCCUGGGCUACAUAGUAAGAUCUGAGAGGAGGGGCAGUGGGCACAAGUCUAUUUGAAAAUAAGUAAAGGAAAAUUAAAUUCAAAAUGUGAAGGAAUGUGGGAGUAAAAAAGACUCUACCAGGAAAAGAAGGCAGGUGCGACUUACAAUCCUAGGACUCAGGAAGCUAAGGCAGGAGGAUCACCAAGAGUUCAAGGCCAGCCUGGGCUACAUAAGACUGUGAAGAGUUGGCACAGGAAGGAGGAGAAGGUGAGAAAGAGAAAGAUUUUUUAAAAGAUUUUAGCAGAAAAAUUCAACUGAACGAAUGAACUAGGCUCCCCGGGCAUGUCAGGAUUGCAGUAUGGCUGCCCGUGUGUGUCUUUUCCAGUCCCUUGAAGACUGCACCAAUAUGUUAACAGCAAAAACAGAGCCAACGAGGAAGG